UCCCUGGUAGCUCAGAUGGUAAAGAAUCUGCCUGCAAUGCAGGAGACCCAGGUUCGAUCCCUGGGUUGGGAU
rnacentral:tRNA from 1 species